CCUGCCCAGGAAGCACACUUAGUUCAUAGAUUAAGCCAUGCAAGUGUUAGUUCAGGUAACGAAACUGCGAAUAGCUCAUUAAUACGCUCAGAAUCUAUUUGGCGGCGACCAACAGGUCUUAAAUGGAUAGCAGCAGCAACUCUGGUGCUAAUACAUGCGAUUGUUUCUCCAGAUGUGAAUUAUGGAGGAAAAGUUGACCUCAUCAGAGGCACGCCAUUCGACUGAGUGACCUAUCAGCUUGUACUUAGGGUCUUUACCUAGGUAGGCUAUCACGGGUAACGGGCGGUUACCGUCGGACUGCCGGAGAAGGCGCCUGAGAGAUAGCGACUAUAUCCACGGGUAGCAGCAGGCGCGAAACUUUCCCACUCGAGACUUUCGGAGGAGGUAAUGACCAGUUCCAUUGGUGCCUUUUGGUACUGUGGAUAGGGGUACGGUUUUCCACCGUACCGAAACCUAGCAGAGGGCCAGUCUGGUGCCAGCAGCUGCGGUAAUUCCAGCUCUGCGAGUUUGCUCCCAUAUUGUUGCAGUUAAAACGCCCGUAGUCUGAAUUGGCCAGCAAUGGUCGUACGUAUUUUUACGUUCACUGUGAACAAAUCAGGACGCUUAGAGUAUGGCCACAUGAAUGACUCAGCGCAGUAUGAAGUCUUUGUUUUCUUCCGAAAACAAGCUCAAUGAGAGCCAUCGGGGGUAGAUCUAUCUCAUGACGAGUGGUGGAAUACUUUGACUCAUGAGAGAGAAGCUGAGGCGAAGGCGUCUACCUAGAGGGUUUCUGUCGAUCAAGGGCGAGAGUAGGAGUAUCCAACAGGAUUAGAGACCCUGGUAGUUCCUACCUUAAACGAUGCCGACAGGAGUUUGUCAUUUGUUAAUGGCAGAAUCUUUGGAGAAAUCAUAGUUCUUGGGCUCUGGGGGAACUACGACCGCAAGGCUGAAACUUGAAGGAAUUGACGGAAGGGCACACCAGGGGUGGAGCCUGUGGCUUAAUUUGAAUC
rnacentral:ncRNA from 2 species